GUUCUGUGCUGUUUCUAGAAAGCACUGCUCCCUCCUUUCCCGCUUCUAAUGGCGAUUUACAGAGGAACUGGAGCUUUUUUUCCUUCUUUGCCUACAUGCCUGCUUGCCAUAAAAAUGAAAAUCAAGCUGAUUUUGGGAGGGAGCCUUCUGAAAUUGACAAAACUAAAAUGAAAAAGUUUGGGGAAGAAGUCUUGGAACCAGUACAUGGUUGUGGAGGUGGAAAAAAGACGGUUGUUUUUUCGGAGUGGCAGACAAGUUGGAUUGAUGAACUGAUGGCGUUGGUGCUACCUGAGCUCCUUCUGCAGAACUAAAAAAAGAGAAAAAUUCACAGCACCCCACACAAGUUAAAUCAUAUCAAG
rnacentral:lncRNA from 11 species